AUAAGUUACUUAAAGGCAUAAAGUGGAUGCCUCGACUCCAAACUCCGAUGAAGGACGUAACUAGCUGCGAUAAGCUUCGGUGAGCCGCUAAGUAGGCAUUGAACCGGAGAUUUCCGAAUGGGGAAACCCACAAGAAGUCAUGUUCUUGUACGGUAUACUCAAUAAAUAGGUAUAUCGAGGAAACUCAGAGAACUGAAACAUCUUAGUACCUGAGGAAAAUAAAUCAAAAGAGAUUCCCUUAGUAGUGGCGAGCGAACGGGGACCAGCCCAAACCAUAUCCCACGGGAUAUGGGGUUGUAGGACCUCACCAUGAACUUUAUUUCUAUUAGCCAAACGUCUCUGGAAAGAGCGGCCAUAGAGGGUAAUAGCCCCGUCGGCGAAAAUAGGGUAAAGCUCUAGAGUGUUCCUGAGUAGGGUCAGACACGAGAAAUCUGGCUUGAAUCUGGGAGGACCACCUUCCAAGGCUAAAUAGGUUUGGAGAUCUAUAGCGAACAAGUACCGUGAGGGAAAGGUGAAAAGCACCCCGGAGAGGGGGAUGAAAUAGUACCUGAAACUUUAUGCUUAUAAAGAGUCGGAGCCUUCGGGUGACGGCGUACUUUUUGUAGAACGGGCCAGCGAG
rnacentral:rRNA from 1 species